UGGGGAAUAUUGGACAAUGGGGGGAACCCUGAUCCAGCCAUGCCGCGUGUGUGAAUAAGGCCUUAUGGUUGUAAAGCACUUUAAGCGAGGAGGAGGGUACUGGUAUUAAUACUACCAGGUACUGGACGUUACUCGCAGAAUAAGCACCAGCUAACUCUGUGCCAGCAGCCGCGGUAAUACAGAGGGUGCAAGCGUUAAUCGGAAUUACUGGGCGUAAAGCGCGCGUAGGUGGUUCGUUAAGUUGAAUGUGAAAGCCCCGGGCUCAACCUGGGAACUGCAUCCAAUACUGGCGAGCUAGAGUAAGGCAGAGGGUGGUGGAAUUUCCUGUGUAGCGGUGAAAUGCGUAGAGAUAGGAAGGAAAACCAGUGGCGAAGGCGGCCACCAGGGCACAUAGUGACACUGAGGUGCGAAAGCGUGGGGAGCAAACAGG
rnacentral:rRNA from 1 species